rfam:Planctomycetales bacterium 71-10 scnpilot_p_inoc_scaffold_339, whole genome shotgun sequence.
GGGCGAUUAGCUCAGUUGGCUAGAGCGCAUGCUCGACACGCAUGAGGUCACAGGUUCGAAUCCUGUAUCGCCCA